rnacentral:rRNA from 1 species
AGAAUCAACGCUGGCGGCGUGCCUAACACAUGCAAGUCGAACGAGAAAGUGGAGCAAUCCAUGAGUAAAGUGGCGCACGGGUGAGUAACACGUGACUAACCUACCCUUGAGUGGGGGAUAACCUAGGGAAACCUGGGCUAAUACCGCAUAAUACCUUCGGGUCAAAGGAGCAAUUCGCUUAAGCGAGGGGGUCGCGGCCGAUUAGUUAGUUGGCGGGGUAAUGGCCCACCAAGACGAUGAUCGGUAUCCGGCCUGAGAGGGCGCACGGACACACUGGAACUGAAACACGGUCCAGACUCCUACGGGAGGCAGCAGUGGGAAUUUGCGCAAUGGGGGAAACCCUGACGCAGCAACGCCGCGUGGAGGAUGAAGUCCCUUGGGACGUAAACUCCUUUCGAUCGGGACGAUUAUGACGGUACCGGAAGAAGAAGCCCCGGCUAACUUCGUGCCAGCAGCCGC